GGAAGAGAAAAAUAAACUCGUAGUUCGGUCUUAGGAGCCCGGAUGACUAUGUCUUUUUUCUUUUGAAGUGUGUUUUUUCUUUCAUCCUCACCCCUCCUCUCAGUUUUGAGACAAGGUCUCACUACCUGCCUUGAAUUUUGAGAUCCUCCUGCUUCAGCCUCCUGAGUGCUGGGAUUACAGGAAAGUGACACCAUUCCUAGCUGAACCGGGAAUUAAACUCAGGACCAUGCGCUUAUGGGGACAACGCCCACCUCCUGGGUUACUGUUAAGACGAGGACUAUGACCACACGGGUCACACCAAACACAAUACUUGGCCCAGCUGCUCCCCCUGCCUCGCCGCAGAAAUCGCCUGUCCCGUGCAUGAAGAGCACCUCAUCAGCAAACUCUGACCCAAGCACUCAGAAUAAGCCUUCUUUGUUCAGGUGCUGAGGAUCUCAGCUCCGUCUUGAAUUUUGUAACUACAGGAAUAAAUGUUUAAAGUACCUGGGUGUGGUUUGCUAACACAAUUAAAAAAUUUUUUGAGGGGGCAACCCACUUUCUAGUCCCUUCUGUCUCUUAGACAGCAGCUUUCUCUCAGUACAAUUUUCCUCUUAAACUGAAAAAAAAAAAAAAAGAAAUUUUUUUUUGAGACAGGGUCUCACUAUGCUGUCCAGGCUGGCCUCAAACUUUCCAUCCUCCUGGCUCAGCCUCUCGUCACUGGGACUGCAGGAAUACACCACCAGGCCUGGCAACCAACACACUGGGACAGUAUCUGUCACAGGAUAAACUCAAUAUUAAGUUUAUUAAAUCAAUGAC
ensembl:lncRNA